rnacentral:piRNA from 1 species
UGGUUAACUUGUCUCUCAUCUGAUU